UUAAUUAAAAUACCCUUUUCUUUUGUUCACUUGUUUCUUCAUGAUUUUUAGUAUUCUCCCCAUUGGUAGAAUAUGCCCAAGAAAUCCUUUCUUUUUUUUUUGUAGUUGACAAGGGAUUUUGUCAAUCUUGAGUUUUUAUUUUAUUUUUUGUCAGCAAAGUUCAAGAUUUUUGAGACCAUUACUAAUUUUGGGGAUUUAGUUGGUUUCAUUGGACAAAGCUGUCUGGAAGUUAGUUUAAAGACAAGAAAAAGGCUUUGUUUUUGUAGUGUGUGUGAAAGAAUGGAGCUGAAAUUGGUUGAUUCCAAGUCAUUGUUUUUGUGUAAUUUUGAGCUGAUGAAAUCAAGUUCAUUUCUUGACACAAAGCUAAGGUUUGGUCUCACUGGGACUCAUAAGUUAUGUUCUUGCAGAGGUGUUGUACUCAAGGCUUCUCGUUCAAGUGCUUCUUAUGAUGCUGCAAGUUCAGUUAGCAAAGAAAAUUUUAUACUCGACGAAUUUUCCUGUAAGAUAAAUGGUAAAAAUUGUUCAGGACUGUAUCUUAGAGAUGUAAGAGUGCUUGAUGCUUCUGAUGAUGAAUAUGGAGGAAUACUCAUUAAUCCACAAACACUACCGUCCAAUCCCAAUAUAUUUGCAUCUGUACUUCGUGAAUCGCUGUCUCACUGGAAAAUGAAGGGGAAGAAGGGAGUUUGGCUUAAACUACCAGUUGAGAAAUGUGAUCUAGUUCCAAUUGCAGUAAAGGAAGGAUUUCAAUACCAUCAUGCGGAAAGAGGAUAUCUCAUGAUGACAUAUUGGCUUCCCGAUGAUCCCUGCAUGCUUCCUUCUAAUGCAUCUCAUCAAGUUGGAGUUGGGGGUUUUGUGAUCAACGACAAAAAUGAGGUGCUUGUCGUACAAGAGAAACAUUCUGCACCAGAUCUUUCAGGCCUAUGGAAAAUACCAACUGGUUUCAUUCUUGAGUCGGAGGAGAUCUUUACAGGAAUCGUGAGAGAAGUGAAGGAGGAAACUGGGAUUGAUACUGAAUUUGUGGAGGUUAUGGCUUUCAGUUCUGCUUCAGGCAUGCUCACAAUGUUGCUUUUGAGAAGUCAGAUUUAUUCUUCGUCUGCCUUUUAAGACCCCUUUCAACAAGAAUCGCGGUUGAUGAUCUAGAAAUUCAGGCAGCCAAGUGGAUGCCUCUAGUCAAAUUCGUCGAGCAGCCACUAAUUCAAGCAGAUAGCAUGUUCAAAAAAGUCAUAGACAUCUGCAUUGCUCGGCUGGGAAAGCGAUACUGUGGAUUAUCUGUCCAUCAACUAGUCUCUACAUUUGAUGGUAAACUAUCCUCCUUGUACUUCAACACAGUUGAAGAUUCAGAUUCGAACUGUAAAGCCAACUAGCGCCAUAAUCAGAAUUUGCAUUGCAAUUUAGCUCUCGAUAUCCUUUUCGAUGGAGAUGAAACGAGUUAAACACAAUAUUACACCAACUGAUCAUCAAUUACCUGUAUUAGAAAGAACAAGAAAAAAGUCAGGGAGUUUAUAUAUAGUGUAUAUAUCUUCUGCUGAGGACAUGGGACAUUGUAUAUAUGUAACAUCUAUAUUUCUUAUCUUAUGACUAAUUUAGCUUCUAAGUGUUUUUCUGCCA